rnacentral:rRNA from 1 species
CUACGGGAGGCAGCAGGGGGGAAUUUUGGACAAUGGGCGCAAGCCUGAUCCAGCAAUGCCGCGUGCAGGAUGAAGGCCUUCGGGUUGUAAACUGCUUUUGUACGGAACGAAACGGCUCUUUCUAAUAAAGAGGGCUAAUGACGGUACCGUAAGAAUAAGCACCGGCUAACUACGUGCCAGCAGCCGCGGUAAUA